CCACUCAUUAAAAGAGUGCGUAAUAGCUCACUGGUCGAGUGACUCUGCGCCGAAAAUUUAACGGGGCUAAACUGUACACCGAAGCUUGGGAAGUUAGAUGUUAGACGGUAGAGAUUAGAAAGUAGAUGUUUGUAUGAGCGGAUAUAAAGAAUUGAAGGUAUAUAAAAGGUCAUAUAAAGCGGCAAAAGCAAUAUAUGAAAUGACCGUAGGAUUUCCAAAUGAGGAAAGGUACGGAAUAACCAAUCAAUUAAGACGUGCGGCAUUAAGCAUACCGUUAAAUAUAGCGGAAGGAUAUGCUAAGAGAGAAAGUCAGGAGGAAUUCAAAAGAUUUCUGAUGAUGGCGCUCGGUUCUUCAAAUGAAGUACUGGUGCUGAUAGACUUUUCGAAAGACGUAGGUUAUAUAUCCGGCGAGAAACACAGUAAAGCGUUUGCAGAGUAUGAGGAAAUAGCAAGUAUGUUAAAUUCAUUCAUACAAAGUGUAAAGACAAAAGUCUAAAAUCUAAUAUCUAGCGUCUAACAUCUAACUUGGUAGGAGAGCGUUCUCUGCGGGGUGAAGCAUGAGCGGAAGCGCGUGUGGACUUCAGAGAAGUGAGAAUGCCGGAAUGAGUAGCGAGAAUUAUGUGAGAAUCAUAAUGGCCGAAAAUCUAAGGUUUCUUGGGGAAGGUUCGUCCGCCCAAGGUAAGUCGGGAGCUAAGCUCAGGCCGAGAGGCGUAGGCGAUGCACAUACGGUAGAAAUUCCGUAACCACCGAAACUUAAACAGAGGGACACUUCGAAAUAGCGGAACCCGGGCGUUGGUUGACCCGGGCGAAAGGGACCGAAAUAUAGUAGGGAAGUCCGCGAUGCUGGGAGGCGAGAAAAGCUCUGGUGAAUACUAAGGUGCCCGUACCGCAAACCGACACAGGUAGAUGAGGAGAGAAUCCUAAGGCCAACGGGAGAAGGGUUGUUAAGGAACUCGGCAAAUUGACCCCGUAACUUCGGAAGAAGGGGAGCCUCGAAAGAGGCCGCAGUGAAUAGGCCCAAGCAACUGUUUACCAAAAACACAGGUCUAUGCUAAAUCGAAAGAUGACGUAUAUGGGCUGACGCCUGCCCGGUGCCGGAAGGUUAAGAGGAGAUGUCAGGCAACGAAGCAUUGAAUUUAAGCCCCGGUAAACGGCGGCCGUAACUAUAACGGUCCUAAGGUAGCGAAAUUCCUUGUCAGGUAAGUUCUGACCCGCACGAAUGGCGUAAUGAUUUGGGCACUGUCUCAACAGCCCGCCCGGCGAAAUUGUAGUACUGGUGAAGAUGCCAGUUACCCGCAACUAGACGGAAAGACCCCAUGGAGCUUUACUGCAGCUUAAUACUGAAAUUCGGUAGUACAUGUACAGGAUAGGUGGGAGACUGAGAAAUACAGGCGUCAGCUUGUAUGGAGUCGCUGUUGGGAUACCACUCUUGUACUGCUGGGUUUCUAACCUGCGGCCGUGAAUCCGGUCGGGGGACACUGUUAGGCGGGCAGUUUGACUGGGGCGGUCGCCUCCAAAAGAGUAACGGAGGCGCUCAAAGGUUCGUUCAGCACGGACGGAAAUCGUGCAAUGAGUGUAAACGCAUAAACGAGCCUAACUGCGAGACCGACGGGUCGAGCAGUAACGAAAGUUGGAGUUAGUGAUCCGGUGGUAUGUGAGUGG
rnacentral:rRNA from 1 species